UCACUAUUUUCUGGGAUUGGCUUUGGAUUUUUCCUACGUAGCUUAGGUGGAAUGCGAAGAAGGCCUUCCGAGGGGGUCUAUGCCAUUAGUGAGAUACCAUUCUGGAAUAGGCAAGGGACAGUCUCAGGUAGACAAUUUUUAUGGGGUGUAGGCCUCCCAAAAGGUAACGGAGGCAUACAAAGGUUUCCUUGUGUCAGACGGAGAUUAACCCACGAGUUCAAAGGUAGAAAGGAGCUUGAUUGCAAGACCCACCCGUCGAGUAGGGAUGAAAGUCGGCCUUAGUGAUCCGAAGGUGCCAAGUGGAAAGGUCCUCACUCAACAAAUAAA
rfam:Gossypium raimondii Chr09_contig_1495, whole genome shotgun sequence.